UUCACUUCCAUAGCAACCCCUCUGUCGGUAAUUACACACUGAACGGUCUGGUGACGGCGGGUCAGAGGUGUUCAGGGUUAGAUAUAGAGCCCCCUGGUUGACGUUUCUGGGUGAAUUAUAACUAAGGACAACUGAAGUACAUAAAAGUGAAGAAUGUUGGGGAAGAUUACAACAGAUCCACCUUACCUUACCAUCGAUAAUUUCGAGGACUGUCUGUCUUCUGAUGAUGUUCUGGUGCACUUCUUUAACGACUUCCUCAGUCUACCUGUAAACAUCCGGUUACAUUUCUAAUUUUGCCAUAUUAUUUACUUUAUUCAGCAACAAAAGUGUUAUUUUCACUGUGGGAUGAAUGCCAGAACUUUUG